rnacentral:rRNA from 1 species
UACGUAGGGGGCAAGCGUUGUCCGGAUUUAUUGGGCGUAAAGAGCUCGUAGGUGGUUCGGUAAGUCGGAUGUGAAAUCUCCAGGCUCAACCUGGAGGGGUCAUUCGAUACUGCCGUGACUAGAGUUCGGUAGGGGAGUGUGGAAUUCCCGGUGUAGCGGUGAAAUGCGCAGAUAUCGGGAGGAACACCGGUGGCGAAGGCGGUUCUCUGGGCCUUACCUGACGCUGAGGAGCGAAAGCGUGGGGAGCGAACAGG